rnacentral:lncRNA from 1 species
AAGACGGCGAGACGGGGGGAGGGGGAGACACGAGAAACUGGGGUGCAUGGGAGGGCAGGGUCACGGGCCGGCCGCCCCAGGCCCCAGUCCUGCGGCCGUGGCGCUCCAGCGCGCCCUGUGCUCGGGACACCCCACCCCCACCCCGAGAGCUUGACCGCCCCUGGGUGCGAGGUCCACGGCCUGCGCAGCUUCGGCUUGCCCUUCGGACCCCCGCCGGGCCCAGGGAGGCCGAGGUCACGGUCGCUGGCCUGGGCGGCGGCCCCUCCUCCCCAGCGCCUGCCGGCUCGGCCCCAGCCUGCUCCGGGAGUCAGAGUCGGGGAUCGAGCCUCGCAGUGCCGGCGGUGGAGAAACCGGGACGAGAGGGCAGUCAGCGGAGGCCGGGCACUUCCGAGGGGAGACAGUUCCAGAGGGGCUUCUGGCGCCCCGCAGGCUGGCCGGGGCGCGCCGAGGUCGCGGCAGGGGAGGCGCAGAGCUGUCUGCACCCUGGACGGGGCGCGCCGAGGUAAACUUAAGCGGCCGCCGGUCAGCGGCAGGCACCCCAGCUCCCAGCAGAGCCCACUCCCAUCUCGACUUGGCCGUCGCUCCCCCUCUGGCGCUCGUGCCCGCUCCCCUCCACUUUUCUCCCGCAAGUGUCCUGCUUGUUCUUGUCACCUCUCCCGAGGAAGUGGCAAACCACCGAGGGAGAGUGGGGGAGCGCUUUCCUCCAGCAGCGCCCCCCGCCCAAGGCGCCUCCUUAGAGGUGGGGGGUACCCCAGGGGCCAGCCGCCACGGGGGCGUCCCUCUGAGUUCAAGGCGGGGGUGCCCCGCAGAAGAGGGCCUCUCCAGCGGGGUCUGAGACAGGAGGGGAGAGGGGCAGGGGAAGGGUUAAUUGCGGGCCCGGAGACUGGAGCUGGCGGUAGGGCCUCAGUCCCCCCCACACCCGGAGCGAACCGCCGUCAUUUCCAGCCCACCGACCCCUCCCUGGACUUGGCUUUACAGCCUGCAGCAGGGGCACCGGAGGCGAGACGCCCCAGCUGGGCUCUGCCCGGGCUGCCUUCUGCGAAGUCCGGAGGCGCGGGCUCUGAGGAAGCUGGCCCUUUGAAAAAAGACCCAACCUUGAGAAUUAUGUAA